UCAUCGGUUACAUAGUGGUCAGUGCACUCCGCCGGAAACAGAAAGACGCAGGUUCAAUUCCUGUCUGAUGUC
rnacentral:tRNA from 1 species